GUAAAUGCUGGCGCUUUGAGAUCGGAUGUCAACAUUUUGGAUCGAGUGAAGAAGCUAGAAUCGAACCUGACAGCAAUACAAGACAAAUUGUUAACGAAAGCAAAUGAACUGCAACAUCUUCAAGUCGUUGUUUCAAGUCAGCUCAGCAACACGGCUAAAAAGCUUGACCGAGUAAAUAUCAGCAUUCUCCGUCUUGUUGGGAAUGUGAGCUCAGAAAUACAGGAAAAGUUAAACCUGACGGAGAUUCAACUCCAAAAGAGUGAUUCCAAUUUGGCCGCAUCCUUAGAUGAAGUCAGAAAGAAUUUAACG